ACACGAUUAAUACGUCCACAUUUUUUUGGACGUGAAAUGAAAAAAAAAAGAGGAAGUGAAUAACACACGACCAUAAUUUACAAUGAUUUUGAGCCCAGCGACAAGUUUGAGUUCACAGAUCGAUUACAAUAAUGAUAAUAUUUCGUACCUUUACUGUCUAUGACUACUGGAAGUCCGCCAUUGGCAACCGGUCCGACCGGAUCCUGCAGGACAACCGGUUCCGUAACCUGUUCCCAGCAGCGUCCUCCAGGAAAAUCCUGACGGAAAUCCCUUUCGUCGUCGCCAUCGUCGUCGAAGUAGUAGUCGUAACAAUAGUAAUAGUUGUCGUUGUCGUCCAUGUCACAACGUUUGGUCCAGCUAUCGAACUGUACUUGUAUCCGGGAGCACCAGCGGUAUUUAAGCAGUGAGUUCGGAAACGGAGCGUCGCCGCCAUCGGUCUCGCGCUGUUUGUCCGCGGCACCGACUCAAAGGGACCGAUUCACGGUCUUCGGAACCGCUCCCACGAGUAUAGGCCUCGCACGUGUCCACCGUUUAUCGUGAAAACAAUAUUACGAUAUUUAAAUAUAAGUACAGGAUGAUUUUUUUAAACUGUAAACACUAUUUAUUUCGAAAAACUUUAACGUUCUAAAAUAUAUUUUUUCACAUAAUCUGAAUCCAUUACAAA